rnacentral:rRNA from 1 species
UACGUAGGGCGCAAGCGUUAUCCGGAAUUAUUGGGCGUAAAGAGCUCGUAGGCGGUUUGUCGCGUCUGCCGUGAAAGUCCGGGGCUCAACUCCGGGCCUGCAGUCGAUACGGGCGGACUUGAGUGUUGCAGGGGAGACUGGAAUUCCUGGUGUAGCGGUGAAAUGCGCAGAUAUCAGGAGGAACACCGGUGGCGAAGGCGGGUCUCUGGGCCGUAACUGACGCUGAGGAGCGAAAGCGUGGGGAGCGAACAGG